AACACUGGUUGGUUGCUUACAUAUCUUUGAAAAGUCUUCAUUAUUUUUGAGAACCUUUGAGGCUCUUCUUUUCCCAAGCAUUUCAAUAAACACUGAAACAAAAACUCACAGCUUGUGAUCAACUUCUUCAUCACCUUCUCCAACAGGACCUUUUGUGGAAGGUUAAGAUUUGGUGUUCGGAUGGGAUUCGGGUUUUGACUUGUAGUAGGUAAGUAAUCCACUUAAACUUUGUCAUUGUUUGAAGUUUCGUAAUUUCUUGUAAACUUUGCAUAGUUUUCAAUUAUUAUCAGGUUAUUUGCUA